AUUGAACGCUGGCGGCAUGCCUAACACAUGCAAGUCGAACGAGUCGCGGACGGAUGAGUUCUGUCUGGGAACCUGCCCGGUGGAGGGGGAUAACAAAUGGUAACGGUAACUGAUAACGCCUUCCAUCACCUGUGCCCAGAUGGGUUUAGCUUGUUGGUGGGGUAACGGCUCACCAAGGCGACGAUCCCUAGCUGGUCUGAGAGGAUGACCAGCCACACUGGAACUGAGACACGGUCCAGACUCCUACGGGAGGCAGCAGUGGGGAAUUUUGCACAAUGGGCGGAAGCCUGAUGCAGCCAUGCCGCGUGUAUGAAGAAGGCCUUCGGGUUGUAAAGUACUUUCAGCGGGGAGGCGUUACCCGCAGAAGAAGCACCGGCUAACUACGUGCCAGCAGCCGCGGUAAUAC
rnacentral:rRNA from 1 species